rnacentral:rRNA from 1 species
CUGGUGCCAGCAGCCGCGGUAAUUCCAGCUCCAAUAGCGUAUAUUAAAGUUGUUGCGGUUAAAAAGCUCGUAGUCUGAGUUCUGUUCCGGACUGGUCGGGGAGGUCACCGCCCGGUGCUUCCCCGUCAGGUUCCGAACAGCCUCCGCCGCGAGCGGGGGCCAAGCCGGUUCUGCCGGGGUGCUCUUGACCGAGUGUCCCGCGCGGCCGGCCGGUUCACCUUGAACAAAUGAGAGUGCUCAAAGCAGGCUACUCUUGACACUAAAGCCCGAAUGUUAACUGCAUGGAAUGAUGGAAGAUGAUCUCGGUUCCAUUUUGCUGGGUGGUGGGAAUCCGAGUUAAUGAUAAACAGGGACUGUCGGGGGCAUCCGUACUACGACGCGAGAGGUGAAAUUCAGUGACCGUCGUAGGACGAACAACAGCGAAAGCAUUUGCCAAGAAUGUCUUCGUUGAUCAAGAACGAAAGUUAGAGGAUCGAAGGCGAUCAGAUACCGCCCUAGUUCUAACCCUAAACGAUGCUGACCAGCUAUUCGCCGUCGUUAUUCCCAUGACGUGGCGAGACGCCCCCGGGAAACCUCGAGUCUUUGAGUUCCGGGGGUAGUAUGGUUGCAAAACUGAAACUUAAAGGAAUUGACGGAAGGGCACCACCAGGAGUGGAGCCUGCGGCUUAAUUUGACUCAACACGGGAAACCUCACCAGGCCCGGACACCAGAAGGAUUGACAGAUUAAGAGCUCUUUCUCAAUUUGGUGGGUGGUGGUGCAUGGCCGUUCUUAGUUGGUGGAGUGAUUUGUCUGGUUAAUUCCGGUAACGAACGAGACUCUGGCCUACUAACUAGUGGGCGGGUGUUCCGGUAAGGGGCCCCGCCCGACAAUGUCUUCUUAGAGGGAUGAGCAGCGAGUAUAGCUGCAGGAGAUUGAGCAAUAACAGGUCU